rnacentral:piRNA from 1 species
UGCAUUUAGGAGAACGUCUGCUGCCC